rnacentral:rRNA from 1 species
UCGAUCGUACCAGCACUAAUGCACCGGAUCUCAUCAGAACUCCGAAGUUAAGCGUGCUUGGGCGAGAGCAGUACUAGGAUGGGUGACCCCUAGGGAAGUCCUCGUGUUGAACCU